UGAAACUGCGUGCGUUGCCGCCAAUUCGGCAACCGGGCUUGGCAGCCCGAAUC
rnacentral:ncRNA from 1 species